rnacentral:lncRNA from 1 species
AGUUCUUCAUACUGAGAAGGGUGGGAUGCAGGAAUGGAGUCCACAGGCUCUGGCUGCAACACACCAUGGUUCUGGCACUAGCCAAGAGCUGACCUUUCCUAAGUCAAUAUAGGAAACUCCCCUCCAGGAGAGGAGUGGUGUGAGGUCUGAGCACACGCUGAAACCUCCAUGGAGAUCCACAGGUACCGGGGAAGCUAACAGCCAAACAUUGAACCACUGUGUGAUUCAUCCAGCCCAUAUGGAGACUUUGCCAAGGACCCCUUUUUCCUCAGAUGAGGAGACCCUUUGAGAGACAAGCAUACAUCAGUGCCUCUGACUCAGAAUCUAUGUUUCUGGAUGCAGCUAGAGGCACAGUGCUAAACUUCUUGGCACUUUGGUGUUCUAAGCUGAUGUCGCCCUUCUGUGGAUGGAUGGAUUAGCUAUCAUGGCAUCUACUCAGAGUUUAAGAGCAUCCCAUAGAAGGAGAUACAUUCACACACAGUUUUCAGCUACAGUGAGUGAUGUCCGCCUUGAAAGAGUCUUGGACUCUGGAGAAUAAUGUACACUGGACAAUCUUGAUGUAGCAAAGAUCAAUGUGUGCUGGAUCCCACGUGGGAACAGCUAGAAGACACCAAAAGGAAGAGUUGCACAAACCCAAAGAUCAGUGGAUAGUUGUACUAGGUAUAAGCACCUUGAAAGCCACUCCCGAGACGACCAUCAAACAGCCAGGGUUCUGGCAGAAGUCACUCCACUCAGCACAUCCUGCGCACAGAAACCUUACUCUCCUUGGCCAAGUCUUUACAAUUGUGAACUUAUUUCCUUCACAUUUGCUUCUGGAGGGUGGAGGGAGGCACCUAAGGUUCAGUAGAGAAAGGAAACUUACAGGAGUGAGCAGACUCAUGGGGGCUUAGCAAGCUCUUUAGACUUAACAAAAGUCACAAGUCUCCUCCCCAAAGUUAUGUAUUGAGUAAUGAUUGCUAAGGAGAGGCAAUUACCUAAGGAACAGAGCUGGUUGAACUCCAGAGAUGCAUUUUCAUGAAUCAUCAGCCAUAAUGGGUUGGGUUUUUAGUGGUCCAGCUGCCUUGGAAUCAUCGAGUAGCUCAAUAAACUCAUUGGUUUGC